rnacentral:rRNA from 1 species
UACGUAGGGGGCAAGCGUUGUCCGGAAUCAUUGGGCGUAAAGAGCGUGUAAGCGGUCCGUUAAGUCGGCUGUGAAAGUCCAAGGCUCAACCUUGGGAUGCCGGUCGAUACUGCCGGACUAGAGUUCGGAAGAGGCGAGUGGAAUUCCCGGUGUAGCGGUGAAAUGCGCAGAUAUCGGGAGGAACACCUAUGGCGAAGGCAGCUCGCUGGGACGUUACUGACGCUGAGACGCGAAAGCGUGGGGAGCAAACAGG